CCUACGGGUGGCAGCAGUGAGGAAUAUUGGUCAAUGGACGCAAGUCUGAACCAGCCAUGCCGCGUGCAGGAAGACGGCUCUAUGAGUUGUAAACUGCUUUUGUACGAGGGUAAACGCAGAUGCGCGUAUCUAUCUGAAAUUAUAGUACGAGUAAGGAUCGGCUAACUCCGUGCCAGCAGCCGCGGUAAUACGGAGGAUUCAAGCGUUAUCCGGAUUUAUUGGGUUGAAAGGGUGCGUAGGCGGUCGGAUAAGUUAGAGGUGAAAUCCCGGGGCUCAACUUCGGAACUGCCUCUGAUACUGUUAGGCUAGAGACUCGUAGCGGUAGGCAGAAUUUAUGGUGUAGCGGUGAAAUGCUUAGAGAUCA
rnacentral:rRNA from 1 species